rnacentral:rRNA from 1 species
UACGUAGGGAGCAAGCGUUGUCCGGAUUUAUUGGGCGUAAAGAGCUCGUAGGCGGCUUAGAAAGUCAGGUGUGAAACCUCCAGCUUAACCUGGAGACGCCACUUGAUACUUCUAUGGCUUGAGUUCGGUAGGGGACCACGGAAUUCUUGGUGUAGCGGUGAAAUGCGCAGAUAUCAGGAGGAACACCGGUGGCGAAGGCGGGUCUCUGGGCCGUAACUGACGCUGAGGAGCGAAAGCGUGGGGAGCGAACAGG